rnacentral:rRNA from 1 species
GUGGGGAAUCUUCCGCAAUGGACGAAAGUCUGACGGAGCAACGCCGCGUGAGUGAAGAAGGUUUUCGGAUCGUAAAGCUCUUUCGUUAGGGACGAACGUGCUCUUUGUGAAUAAUGAGGAGUAAUGACGGUACCUAAAUAAGAAGCCACGGCUAACUACGUGCCAGCAGCCGCGGUAAUACGUAGGUGGCAAGCGUUGUCCGGAAUUAUUGGGCGUAAAGCGCGCGCAGGCGGGAUAGCAAGUCUGUCUUAAAAGUGCGAGGCUCAACCUCGUGAGGGGACAGAAACUGGUAUUCUUGAGUGUCGGAGAGGAAAGUGGAAUUCCAAGUGUAGCGGUGAAAUGCGUAGAGAUUUGGAAGAACACCAGUGGCGAAGGCGACUUUCUGGACGAUAUCUGACGCUGAGGCGCGAAAGCUAGGGGAGCGAACGGGAUUAGAAACCCCUGUAGUCC